UACGAAGGGGGCUAGCGUUGCUCGGAAUCACUGGGCGUAAAGGGUGCGUAGGCGGGUCUUUAAGUCAGGGGUGAAAUCCUGGAGCUCAACUCCAGAACUGCCUUUGAUACUGAAGAUCUUGAGUGCGGGAGAGGUGAGUGGAACUGCGAGUGUAGAGGUGAAAUUCGUAGAUAUUCGCAAGAACACCAGUGGCGAAGGCGGCUCACUGGCCCGAUACUGACGCUGAGGCACGAAAGCGUGGGAGCAAACAGG
rnacentral:rRNA from 1 species